CCCUUAGAUGUCCUGGGCCGCACGCGCGUUACACUGAUGCAUUCAACGAGCUUAUAACCUUGGCCGAGAGGCCUGGGCAAUCUUGUUAACGUGCAUCGUGAUAGGGAUAGAUUAUUGAAAUUAUUAAUCUUGAACGAGGAAUUCCUAGUAAACGCAGAUCAUCAAUCUGCAUUGAUUACGUCCCUGCCCUUUGUACACACCGCCCGUCGCACCAACCGAUUGGAUGUUUUGUUGAAAUAUGUGGAUGCUUGUUGGGUGAAUUCAUUUUUGCUUGAUAGACAGAAACGUAUUAAAACUGAAUAUCUAGAGGAUGGUGAAGUCGUAACA
rnacentral:rRNA from 1 species